AAAUUGUUACAUACAUAGGCUAUUUUGGAAGGAACGUGGAGAAAGAUCUUACGAAAUUCAAUUUCAGUGAAAUAUAUCAUGUGUGGGACCGAAAUCCUGCAAGACGAGAUGAGACCUGCUAAUAAGAAGCCCAACUUUGUCAAGAAAAAAUACAUCUUCUUAUGCCUCCUCACUGUUCCAAUCCAACUGCAUGGUCAACCUCACAGGGAGAGUUACAGAUUUUAAAUUAGUUAAAUUAGAUGGGGAGUGGCAGUGAACAGCAAUCUUCAAGUCUUUCCACAGAUUUUCAAUGGGAUUCAAGUCUGGACUUUGGCUGGGUCACUCAAGGACUUUCAUACUCUUGUUCCAAAGCCAUUCCAGUGUUGUUUUGGCUGUAUGCUUGCAGUCAUUGUCCUGUUGGAAGUUAAAUCUUCAACCCACUAUAAGGUCGUUUGCGCUCUGAAGCGGAUUCUCAUCAAGGAUUUGCCUGUAUUUGGCUCCAUUCAUUGUUCCCUCUAUCCUUACCAGUCUCCCAGUCCCUGCUGCUAAAAAGCAUCCACAUAGCAUGAUGAUGCCACCAUCAUUUUUCACGGUAGGGAUGGUGUUAGACGGGUGAUGAGAUGUGCCUGGUUUCUCCAGACAUAGCGCUUUCCAUUCAGGCUAAAGAGUUCAAUUUUUGUUUCAUCAGACCACAGAAUAUUUUGCCUUAUGCUCUGAGUCUUUCAAGUGCCUUUUUGAAAACUUAAGGAACUGCUGAGGAAAGGUUCUUCGCUCAGACUGUGCUGUCUUCUGGAGUAAUAAAGGCCUAGUUCACUAAUACUGUUGGAAAAAAACACAACGACUGGAGCAGUGGUGUGAAAAGUACUCAAUUGUUAUACUUGAGUAAAAGUAAAUAUACUUUACCUUUAAAUUAAUAGAAAAUGACUCAAGUAAAGGUAAAAAUCCCCCAGUAAAAUACUACUUGAGUAAAAGUCUAAAAGUAUCUUGUUUUAAAUGUACUUAAGUACAUUUGGAAAAAGUAUUCAAUUGUCAUACUUGAGUAAAAGUAAAUGCUUUACAUCAAAUUCCUUAUAUUAAGCAAAACCAGAUGGCACAAUGUUCAUUCUUUUUUCACAGAGAGACUGGGGCACACUCCAACACAGACAUAAUUUAGACAUGUAGUAUUUGUGUUUAGUGAAUCUGACAGAUCAUAGGCAGUAGGAAUGACAAUGCGUUAUUGUUAUGUGAAUUAAGUUAUCAAUGUUCUUAAACUGAACUUCAAUUAAACUACUCAGUCUGCC